UUCGCCCUUAGAGUUUGAUGGUGGCUCAGAUUGAACGCUGGCGGCAGGCCUUACACAUGCAAGUCGAGCGGAAACGAUGGGAGCUUGCUCCCAGGCGUCGAGCGGCGGACGGGUGAGUAACACGUGGGAAUCUACCCAGUAGCGGGGGAUAGCCCGGGGAAACCCGGAUUAAUACCGCAUACGCCCUACGGGGGAAAGAUGGCCUCUUCUUGAAAGCUGUCACUAUUGGAUGAGCCCGCGUCAGAUUAGCUAGUUGGUGGGGUAAUGGCCUACCAAGGCGACGAUCUGUAGCUGGUCUGAGAGGAUGAUCAGCCACACUGGGACUGAGACACGGCCCAGACUCCUACGGGAGGCAGCAGUAGGGAAUAUUGCGCAAUGGGGGAAACCCUGACGCAGCGACGCCGCGUGAGUGAAGAAGGCCUUUCUGGUUGUAAAGCUCUGUAGGGAGGGAAGAACCACAUCUGGUAACGCAGAUGUCUGACGGUACCUCCAAAGUAAGGACCGGCUAAAUACGUGCCAGCAGCCGCGGUAAUACGUAUGGUCCGAGCGUUGUCCGGAAUGACUGGGCGUAAAGGGUGUGUAGGCUGACACGUAUGUCAGGUGUGAAAUUCCUGGGCUUAACCUGGGAACUGCGCUUGAAACUGCGUGUCUAGAGCAUGUUAGGGGUAAGUGGAAUUCCCGGAGUAGCGGUGAAAUGCGUAGAGAUCGGGAAGGACACCAGUGGCGAAGGCGACUUACUGGGACAUGGCUGACGCUGAGGCACGAAAGCGUGGGGAGCGAACGGGAUUAGAUACCCCGGUAGUCCACGCUGUAAACGAUGGAUACUAGAUGUCAGGGGGUUUAUACCUUGGUAUCUAAGCUAACGCGCUAAGUAUCCCGCCUGGG
rnacentral:rRNA from 1 species